rnacentral:rRNA from 1 species
CAGCCGCCGCGGGAAUACGUAGGUGGCAAGCGUUGUCCGGAAUUAUUGGGCGUAAAGGGCUCGCAGGCGGUUUCUUAAGUCUUAUGUGAAAGCCCCCGGCUCAACCGGGGAGGGUCAUUGGAAACUGGGAAACUUGAGUGCAGAAGAGGAGAGUGGAAUUCCACGUGUAGCGGUGAAAUGCGUAGAGAUGUGGAGGAACACCAGUGGCGAAGGCGACUCUCUGGUCUGUAACUGACGCUGAGGAGCGAAAGCGUGGGGAGCGAACAGGAUUAGAUACCCCCGUAGUCCCUGUCUCUUAUAC